rnacentral:misc_RNA from 1 species
GCUGAGGAAGGUGAAGAUUGGUCCGACAUUGAUAACUUAGGGAGUGAUGGAUUAGAUGAAGAUUCUGAUGAGGACUGGAGUGAUGAUGGUGAUAAUAUACCUCCAGACUUCAGUGAUAAUGAAGGUACCGUUAACCUUGAAGAGGGCAAACUGACUACACAAGUUAAUGGUGCAAAGAAGAAGGAAAACAAGGUUUUGGACCCAGUUUUUCCAGAUGGCCG